GCAAGUCGAGCGCGUGGCAACACGAGCGGCAGACGGGUGAGUAACGCGUGGGAAUCUACCGGACCCUACGGAAUAACGCAUGGAAACGUGUGCUAAUACCGUAUACGCCCUACGGGGGAAAGAUUUAUCGGGGUUUGAUGAGCCCGCGUUGGAUUAGCUAGUUGGUGGGGUAAAGGCCUACCAAGGCGACGAUCCAUAGCUGGUCUGAGAGGAUGAUCAGCCACAUUGGGACUGAGACACGGCCCAAACUCCUACGGGAGGCAGCAGUGGGGAAUAUUGGACAAUGGGCGCAAGCCUGAUCCAGCCAUGCCGCGUGAGUGAUGAAGGCCCUAGGGUUGUAAAGCUCUUUCACCGGAGAAGAUAAUGACGGUAUCCGGAGAAGAAGCCCCGGCUAACUUCGUGCCAGCAGCCGCGGUAAUACGAAGGGGGCUAGCGUUGUUCGGAAUUACUGGGCGUAAAGCGCACGUAGGCGGACAUUUAAGUCAGGGGUGAAAUCCCGGAGCUCAACUCCGGAACUGCCUUUGAUACUGGGUGUCUUGAGUGUGGAAGAGGUGAGUGGAAUUCCGAGUGUAGAGGUGAAAUUCGUAGAUAUUCGGAGGAACACCAGUGGCGAAGGCGGCUCACUGGUCC
rnacentral:rRNA from 1 species